ACCAGACACGAGAUGACUCUCCAGAACUGGCGCCACCUCCCCUGAGGCCUUGGCCUUGCUGUCCUCCAGGGUCCUGGGGAUCAAACUUGUAUCCUAAUAAGGCUUGGUGGAGAGCUCCCUUACCACUGAACCACCUCGCCGAACCUGCACAGGAUUCGUGAAAAUGCAAGUUUCCAGCUCUGACAGAGGCAUCCUCAGAAGGCUGAGGCUAAAACAUCCUCCCUUCCUACUACCCCUCCGAUUGAACUGGAGUUGCCAAAGGCCCAGAGGAAAAGUACUGGCUUCCUGAGAAGGAACCAUAAUGACCUGCCUAUCCCCAGCCUUCCCUGCUCCCCUCAGUGCUCCGGCUCUCCGGCAGUCCUUGCCCAUCCACCUGGAGCAAAAGUGGGCAGAGCUGACCCUGUGAGUGAGGCGACAAGCCUGGCAUGGCACAGCGUCUGCACUAAGCUGCUUCUGGCCCCAUUCAUUUCUGGACUCAGAAAGCAGAGGCCUUGAG